ACUCCUACGGGAGGCAGCAGUAGGGAAGUCUUCCACAAUGGGCGCAAGCCUGAUGGAGCAACACCGCGUGAGUGAAGAAGGGUUUCGGCUCGUAAAGCUCUGUUGUUAAAGAAGAACACGUAUGAGAGUAACUGUUCAUACGUUGACGGUAUUUAACCAGAAAGUCACGGCUAACUACGUGCCAGCAGCCGCGGUAAUACGUAGGUGGCAAGCGUUAUCCGGAUUUAUUGGGCGUAAAGAGAGUGCAGGCGGUUUUCUAAGUCUGAUGUGAAAGCCUUCGGCUUAACCGGAGAAGUGCAUCGGAAACUGGAUAACUUGAGUGCAGAAGAGGGUAGUGGAACUCCAUGUGUAGCGGUGGAAUGCGUAGAUAUAUGGAAGAACACCAGUGGCGAAGGCGGCUACCUGGUCUGCAACUGACGCUGAGACUCGAAAGCAUGGGGUAGCGAACAGGAUUAGAUA
rnacentral:rRNA from 1 species